GAUAAGAAGAGGAAUCUAACCUCCAUAAAAAGGACUACAGCCUAACGCCUUGACAUUCAGCCAUCUUACC
rnacentral:tRNA from 3 species